UACAGAGGGUGCGAGCGUUAAUCGGAAUUACUGGGCGUAAAGCGCGCGUAGGCGGCUUUGCAAGUCGGGUGUGAAAUCCCCAGGCUUAACCUGGGAACUGCAUUCGAGACUGCAUUGCUAGAGUAUGGGAGAGGGAAGUGGAAUUUCCGGUGUAGCGGUGAAAUGCGUAGAUAUCGGAAGGAACAUCAGUGGCGAAAGCGACUCCUGGACCAAUACUGACGCUCAUGUGCGAAAGCGUGGGGAGCGAACAGG
rnacentral:rRNA from 1 species